GCGGCGUGCUUAACACAUGCAAGUCGAACGAUUAAACCGCCCUCGGGCGGACAUAGAGUGGCGAACGGGUGAGUAACACGUGACCAACCUGCCCCGCGCUCCGGGACAACCGCUGGAAACGGCGGCUAAUACCGGAUACUCCGGGAGGGCCCCAUGGCCCUGCCGGGAAAGCCGAGACGGCGCGGGAUGGGGUCGCGGCCCAUUAGGUAGACGGCGGGGUAACGGCCCACCGUGCCCGCGAUGGGUAGCCGGACUGAGAGGUCGACCGGCCACAUUGGGACUGAGAUACGGCCCAGACUCCUACGGGAGGCAGCAGUGGGGAAUUUUGCGCAAUGGGGGAAACCCUGACGCAGCAACGCCGCGUGCGGGACGAAGGCCCUCGGGUUGUAAACCGCUUUCAGCAGGGAAGAUCCAAGACGGUACCUGCAGAAGAAGCUCCGGCUAACUACGUGCCAGCAGCCGCGGUAAUACGUAGGGGGCGAGCGUUAUCCGGAUUCAUUGGGCGUAAAGCGCGCGUAGGCGGCCGCCUAAGCGGGACCUCUAACCCCGGGGCUCAACCCCGGGCCGGGUCCCGGACUGGGCGGCUCGAGUGCGGUAGAGGAGAGCGGAAUUCCCGGUGUAGCGGUGGAAUGCGCAGAUAUCGGGAAGAACACCGAUGGCGAAGGCAGCUCUCUGGGCCGUCACUGACGCUGAGGCGCGAAAGCUGGGGGAGCGAACAGGAUUAGAUACCCUGGUAGUCCCAGCCGUAAACGAUGGGCGCUAGGUGUGGGGGGACGAUCCCUCCGUGCCGCAGCCAACGCAUUAAGCGCCCCGCCUGGGGAGUACGGCCGCAAGGCUAAAACUCAAAGGAAUUGACGGGGGCCCGCACAAGCAGCGGAGCAUGUGGCUUAAUUCGAAGCAACGCGAAGAACCUUACCAGGGCUUGACAUGCCGAUGAAGCCGGGGAGACCCGGUGGCCGAGAGGAGUCGGCGCAGGUGGUGCAUGGCUGUCGUCAGCUCGUGUCGUGAGAUGUUGGGUUAAGUCCCGCAACGAGCGCAACCCCCGCCCCGUGUUGCCAGCAUUCAGUUGGGGACUCGCGGGGGACUGCCGGCGUCAAGCCGGAGGAAGGUGGGGACGACGUCAAGUCAUCAUGCCCCUUAUGCCCUGGGCUGCACACGUGCUACAAUGGCCGGUACAGAGGGUUGCCACCCCGCGAGGGGGAGCGGAUCCCGGAAAGCCGGUCCCAGUUCGGAUCGCAGGCUGCAACCCGCCUGCGUGAAGCCGGAGUUGCUAGUAAUCGCGGAUCAGCACGCCGCGGUGAAUACGUUCCCGGGCCUUG
rnacentral:rRNA from 1 species